AGGUACAUAGAACCAUUGGAAGGGAGGACCCAAUGGAAUCGCUUGGAAUGCAACCGAUUCGCAGUUGCAUGUCGCCCGUUGCACGGAGAGAAAGGCUACGGCAGCGGAAAGAAAAAGAGAAAACAAAUGAUAUGUAACCAAAUUUCUUCCUGGCGGCCAGUCUGCCACCAAUUGCUGACUUUAACACCAACAUGGGCCAAAAGGUGCAAACGGACCCGUUCCAUUUUAUUCAUUUCGCUUCCAAACAUUUGCGCGCAACUUUCACUUUGCUGCAUACAAAAAUCAAUCAAAGCAGGAAGAUAAGAUUGUAAUUAACUGUGGGGAAUUCUUUUAACUUUUCAAUAUUCAUUUAUAUUUUUGGACUCUUUGUAAGCACUUAUUAAUAGUAGUUGACGAAAAGUGAUGACCAAAGUUGAAGCAACACAAGGGUUAAGUUUGCGGCUCAGUGCGUUUUCGGCAACUAACAAGAUCAACAAAAAAGACACAAUAAAAUACGACAGGCACGGCUUCAUUGGUUUUGCGGUUAAAAUGUUGCAACAAGAACUGGCAAUGCCACAAAAAUUGGACAACUGAAAACGCAGCAAAAGAAAUGAGUCGCAGCUUGAAAUACACUUGGUAUUUAUUGAAAAUUAUCGGUAUCACUUUUUCAACUUAAACCUAGAUGUUAAUGCAAUAACGGCUAUAAAAAGUAUUUUGUUUCAAAGGAUACACAACUUUAUAAAUCAUUUAAAAUUUGCAUAGCUGAGCUAAGAAAUCUGAUGCUUAAAUUUCGUAAGAUUCGCCCAGAAGAACCUAUAAAGAAGUCAUAAUUAUUGGACUACCCACCUUUGUCUAGACUAAUAAUACCCCUUGCAUAGCAGCAUCAAAACCGCGAAGUAGCGGCAGAAAACUGGCGAAUCUAUAAAAAUGCAAAUUAGAAGAAGCGAAAAAAUAACACAA